rnacentral:rRNA from 1 species
AGAUGUCUGAAUGGGGGAACCCAGCCAUCAUAAGAUGGUUAUCUUGUACUGAAUACAUAGGUGCAAGAGGCGAACCAGGGGAACUGAAACAUCUAAGUACCCUGAGGAAAAGAAAUCAACCGAGAUUCCCUUAGUAGUGGCGAGCGAACGGGGACUAGCCCUUAAGUGGCUUUGAGAUUAGCGGAACGCUCUGGAAAGUGCGGCCAUAGUGGGUGAUAGCCCUGUACGCGAAAAUCUCUUAGUCAUGAAAUCGAGUAGGACGGAGCACGAGAAACUUUGUCUGAAUAUGGGGGGACCAUCCUCCAAGGCUAAAUACUACUGACUGACCGAUAGUGAACUAGUACCGUGAGGGAAAGGCGAAAAGAACCCCGGAGAGGGGAGUGAAAUAGAUCCUGAAACCGUAUGCGUACAAGCAGUGGGAGCAGACUUUGUUCUGUGACUGCGUACCUUUUGUAUAAUGGGUCAGCGACUUAUUUUCAGUGGCGAGCUUAACCGAAUAGGGGAGGCGUAGCGAAAGCGAGUCUUAAUAGGGCGUCUAGUCGCUGGGAAUAGACCCGAAACCGGGCGAUCUAUCCAUGGGCAGGUUGAAGGUUAGGUAACACUGACUGGAGGACCGAACCGACUACCGUUGAAAAGUUAGCGGAUGACCUGUGGAUCGGAGUGAAAGGCUAAUCAAGCUCGGAGAUAGCUGGUUCUCCUCGAAAGCUAUUUAGGUAGCGCCUCAUGUAUCACUGUAGGGGGUAGAGCACUGUUUCGGCUAGGGGGUCAUCCCGACUUACCAAACCGAUGCAAACUCCGAAUACCUACAAGUGCCGAGCAUGGGAGACACACGGCGGGUGCUAACGUCCGUCGUGAAAAGGGAAACAACCCAGACCGUCAGCUAAGGUCCCAAAGUUAUGGUUAAGUGGGAAACGAUGUGGGAAGGCUUAGACAGCUAGGAGGUUGGCUUAGAAGCAGCCACCCUUUAAAGAAAGCGUAAUAGCUCACUAGUCGAGUCGGCCUGCGCGGAAGAUGUAACGGGGCUCAAACCAUACACCGAAGCUACGGGUAUCAUCUUCGGAUGAUGCGGUAGAGGAGCGUUCUGUAAGCCUGUGAAGGUGAGUUGAGAAGCUUGCUGGAGGUAUCAGAAGUGCGAAUGCUGACAUGAGUAACGACAAUGGGUGUGAAAAACACCCACGCCGAAAGACCAAGGUUUCCUGCGCAACGUUAAUCGACGCAGGGUUAGUCGGUCCCUAAGGCGAGGCUGAAAAGCGUAGUCGAUGGAAAACAGGUUAAUAUUCCUGUACUUCUGGUUAUUGCGAUGGAGGGACGGAGAAGGCUAGGCCAGCUUGGCGUUGGUUGUCCAAGUUUAAGGUGGUAGGCUGAGAUCUUAGGUAAAUCCGGGAUCU